CUGCACCGAAGGGAGAGAGAAAGGAGUGAAACUCAAUCCCCUCCCCUCUCUGUCACUUCUCCUUCUCCCGUGCUCUCCUUUUUGCCGCCGCCUUCGCCGGCCGGCUCUGGCGAAAUCCGGCGGUCUCUAGCAUCGUGCUUGCUAUCAAUCUCUCCUCUGCUCGUGCUCUAUAUGAUCCACCGUGUCGAUUUGUCGAUCCCACACUCUUGUGGCUGCCCCCAUCGGUUUGCCCGUCCUAGAGUUUCAGUGCGGUCGACCUCCUCGUCGCCGGCGAUGCUCCGGCGCGUUGGUCCGGCCGUCUUCGCCUCGUGCCCACCCAUCGCGCCGUCGACUCCUCCCCGAGCUCCUCCCUCUUCUUUGUGAGCGGUGGCCGAUGUAGCCCCGCCUCCACACUUGUAUCAGCGGCCCAAGGAGGAGUUCCAGAGCUCAAAACGCGCCGGUGGUCCACGACACCGUCACCGUCUUCCUUGGCAGAAGCAGCGCGGGCCGCAGAGACAGCUGGCUCCGUCCUGUUCUCGCAUCGUUGUCCGUCCGCCCGACGAAGAAGAGGGGUGCCGACAGGAGAAGCACGAUGCAGAUUUUGUUUCUCUAUGCCUACAAGGUGUUUGAAGGAACUCCAAAAAGACUGGCAGGAAGUUGUUUUAUCAAGAACAUGCAUUUUGUAGGUGUUAUGUCAGAUGAUCUAAAGUGUGUAUAUAUCAUUUGUUGUGCAGGAUUCCAGAUUCAGUGUGACAAUUUGUGCUUUUGCUACUUCUGGGGUCCUGUAUCCUGCAUCCACUGAGCUGCUCCAACGUUAACAUCAGGAAAUGUUUGUUUGAAUUGGAGUCUUUGUUAUCAUUCUCGGUCAAGAUUUUGCACAUAGUUCGUAUAUCCAGUCUUCGUUUGGGUGCCCCUUUGUUUUGCACAUAGUUGGUAUGAGCUGCUCCGGCAUCGACUGCGGGUUGUUGGGAGCAACCUUUUUUCUAUGGAGGUGGGAGCAUUCUUUCUAUGGCUACAAUAUUUUCUAAUCUUGGAUGCCGAAUUGUGAUUUUAUGUUGCUAUAAAAUCGAAGGCUCUGCAUUUUGGAAUACUUGAUAGUUAUGGACCGCCGGAGUUGGUUGUGGAGGCAUGAUCAGGAAUUUGACUGUUGCAUUUGUCGUCUCUUAAAAUGGAUAAUGGACGAUGCAAAUUUGGUGACUAAACUUCCCGACAAGCUCCCCAGGCAUUCAGGCUACAAUAGCCAGGGGAUUGGAGGUGAGAGAUACUGCUUGGACGAGUACUCUCUGACCACGAGCUUUGGGAUUUGGUGUUGAAUUGUCAUGGAAUUCUCUAUAUGCUUGGGCAUAAUUAGCAUAUUGCAAUUGGGACCUUCACAACACUUACUUUGUGGUGUGUACGCACUUCGACAUACGACACCAUGGCCAGGUCAUUUCCUCUCUACAGCGCGACAUGUAAUGCUCCAAAUUAUGUUAUUAAUACUAUACUGGUUCUCUUUCCUCUAUUUUUUGGCACUUCGACAUACGGCACCAUGUUGUUGAACUGUACACUGUACACUCAUGCGUUAAACUAACUAAAGUCCAUUUACAACUUGUAAAUUGUCUAUAAGGACUACCUGAACAACAAUUGGUCAUGCACUAUAUGUUAAUAAAUGAAUAUUUUGCUUGUGUCACUACUAAAUUCGAUUAAGAUACAAGCAAAUGCAUUAGAUAAUUAGUCCCGAAUAUUCAAUGUGCUUACUAUUGUCCAAUCUUCUCUCAGGGAAAGGGGUAUGCCUUCUUCUUAGGGCAGCGUAUUAAAGCAUAUACGAUAUGUUUAGAUAGAACCGACGAACUGGUAACAGAUGUUCAACAUCAACUUUCAGUUUAAGGUUUCAGGAUUGCACGUUAACAAAUCUCAUUCCUAAUUCUAAAACAGGACCUUAUGAAAUCUUGUGUCCAAGACUCCAAGUUUACUGGUCCACUUCCUGAUUCUGGACACUUAGAUAGAAUUAAAUCUUAUGACUUUUCUUUGUCCCGUUUUACUAGCGGUUUCAUGGAUUUUCUGCUUGAAUUUAUUUGGAUAUUUAUCAUAGAAAUGUAUCUAGGAUUUGGGGAGAUGUUAUAUUUAAUGAAAUGAAGAUUUAAUUUCCAAAUUAAAAUUUCGCUUUGACUAUAUGAGGAUGUACAACCCACUAUAUGUUGAACUGAUUUGGAUCAAGGCGCAUUCAUUUCCCGUCUACACACUAGAAGCAACAAAUUUCCCAUCUCACUUUGCUAUUUCUUUUAUCUUUACACUAGCUUUGGCUGUAAUCACAUUUGGGUCGCAGGCGACGUGGGUGGUGAUUUAGGCUGUCGCGGUAGCGGACACGGUGGCCGAUAGAUAAGGGCAUGGGAGAAGGCAUCGUAAAAAGAGUGGCGGGUGGUUCUCACCUUCAUCUCCGGAGUCAUGUAGAUCAUGCUCUAUGUAAGCAUAGCAUUCUCCAGGUAGCUUCUCCCUAUUGAGUUAAUUUUGGGAUACCUAUUGAUGGAUGGAACUGGGAUACCUAUUGAGUUAAUUUUGGGAUGAAAAAAGAAAUCAUAGCCGACAGCGUGUGUGCUUCUCAAAUGUGUAUGCAUUAAUCACAAGCGCACGAAUUUGAGAUCUACGGGAUUUUAUGUUUGUUGGUACUUUAUAUUGUUUCAUGUUA